AAAGGCAAACUAUCUAAUGGAGAAUCAUUCACGGUCAAUUUAAGUCAAAAGAAGUAAAAGUACUGUACCAUUAAAGUGUCCAUCUCUUGAAGAUAAGGUACUUGUGAUCUCCACGAUAGAACAGAGCAGUAUGUAGUCCACCAUUCAGAAGUCUCCUAGGAGGGUCCCCCAGCAGGUCCACCAUGAAGCGCAGCUGGAGACAAAACACCACAUCAAAACACCACAAAAAACCUAGUGCUUGGUGAAGCUGCACUGUCGGUUUAGUGCUACGCAAACAUGCUCUGAUGGUGAAUGUGGUAAACAUUGUCCCUGCUAAACAUCAGAAUGUUAGCACUGAACCACUGUGCCGAAGUCGCACAUUCGGAUUUUUGUUUUUACCACUUUGCUCUUUCAGUAUUAAAGAUGCCUGACGCGUCAUGAGAAGUAUUUCAUACGUUAGCGUGUGUGGAGAAAUAAACUUGUUAUGGUACUGACCACGACAUAUUCAGGUUUUCCCAUUAUUAUGCCAAGAGACCAAAUAUCGAUGGCCGAAUUGAAUGUCAGGCCCAGAAUGAUUUCAGGAGACCUGAUUGUGGAAGGACAGCGACAUGUGAAAUAAUCAACACGGUCUGUUUUUAAAAGCAGGAAUAUGCACCUGGUGACAUGACAUAUAUCACCCCCAAUUGAGAAUGCCCAGAAUGGGUACCAAGAUGCCUCAGUAACGCGCACGCUUGGUUUCAACCAUUUCACGCUGCUUGUGCUGUGCGGAAAGCGUUUCACCCGAGACUCUGUUCAUUGGUGUCAUCUUAAGCAAGAAAGCGACAAGCAAUUCUAAACCAAAGGCCUAAGAGUCUCACCUAUAACCAAGAGCCUGAACAGUUUGAGCUUGGGAUGUCUCAAGGGUUAAGCCGAAGUCGAUGACCUUCACCCUGAAUGGCUUUGUCUGAUGAUGCACCAGCAAGAUGUUGUCCAGUUUCAAAUCCGCGUGGAGUCUUCACAUCUCUGAUGAUGGUCCGUAUGCCAUUUAAAGGCAAAAGCUCCCAUUCUCUCUGGCACAUGUGUCCAAAGAGGCUCAUAUCCAGCAUUUCAAAGACCAUGAAGGUCUGGUUGUGCCUGUGGAACCAUUCAUGACAUCGGACUUAUCGGGGUCCAAACAUCUGAGCUUUUCCAGUAUCGUCACCCGGAGAUGAAUGACGGUAUGAAACAGUCAUCGACCUUUUCUGCGAUGGGACUUAAAAUGACUUGAGUUUUAAUCAUCAAGCUGCUCACCUCCCGUAUAUUUGUGUUCUGUGGACAUUUUUGUUUUAAGACCUUCACGGCCACCAUCUCGUUGCUGUCCCAUUUCAAACAUUGAAGGACAUCUCCGUAGCACCCCACUCCCAGAACGCCCAGAACCGUAUAGUUUCUCGAGAUUGAGCUCGUCAGAAGUUUAUUUGCCAUUUCUGGAAAUAAUACCCAAGUAGACGUAAAAUAACGUUUUUCCGCAUCCAUAAUUGUGUCUAAAAGCCAGACAUAAUGAUUUGAAUCAUAUCUCCCAGUGUUAGUGCAAGAGCCGAACGGCCAGCUUGAUUUUACAUUGCCCUCCAACCCUUUUGGAUUCAAGAUAAACAUUUUGCCAAGUACACUACUUAAAAGCCUAAGGACAUUGACAAGUAGCUGUUCCUGGUCCCAGUGACUUCUAGCUAAGUCUGGUGGAGACUUAGCUAUCAUUGGAACUACAGCUAAUCUAAAAUAUGCGGUCAACAGAAAUGUAUUACACAAAAUGUGUGUUGGUCAGAUGUGCUUUAAACUCAUGACUUUCUAUUGUAAGUAAGUAGCUCUAUUAGCUCCAUUAUUACCAGACACAACAAAAUGGUAAUAUGAUUAAACCGGUCAAAUGUUUGGAUAUAUGCAAUGUCACUCAAGACAUAACUUUUAUCACACGUUUGACUAAUAUUUUCACUGUUUACAGACUGUUUAUGCACUGCCCCCCUGUUUCCACUAGAUGCCCCUAAAGAUCUCUGAAUUGAUAAGAAUGAGGCGUCGUAGAAGGUGGAAUUUGAGAGCUCUCCUGACCACGUGAGCGUUGGAUAUUCAGUCAAAACCGACGUAUUUAGUCGGGUGCUUGAAUGUGACUUUAUGUUAUCCAACAGCUUAAGUUGGCGAUUAGUUUGCCAAAAUAAACUAAUGGCACAGCCGUAACCUCAAAAUGUUUAUAGUUUAUCUAACAUUGGAUUCGGAGUCGUUAAACUUUUAUCUUUCUAUCUCAGUUUGGAAUGUUUGUUCAAAGCGGGAGGAGAAAUUGCCCAAUAUUUGAUGGUGUCUUCGCGUCUGGAGGAGCUGUUAGUGAUUUGCGUUUGGAUUUGAAUGAAUGAACACACAUGUGACUGUUGAAGGUUUUGUGUAUGGAUUGAAUAGGUCAUGUAUGAUGCGUUGUAGACUGUCCGUGAGCACUUGCACAUUUAGAUGCAACCGGAGAAAGAGCUCAUCCACGUGCGCAUCGUCAAGCAUUUCUGCACGGCUCUGAUAAUGACCGGUUGUGACGUGUUCUAUUACAAGCAUAACGUUAUUGCUCCGAAGAGUCGGACCAACAGCAGCAUCCAGCUAGUCGGCUUCAAGGCAUUUCGCUCCUCCAGCGGGCUCACGGAACCAGCACCUCCCCUCCCUCCACCCUGCGUGCGUUGGAAGUUGAGUGGCUUUGGCAGUUCGCUUCGCUCAGAGUCCAAGAAAACAGUGCUGCAAAACACAACGAAAAUAUUCGUUCCCCCCAUUGAGCAGAGAUGUUUGCUUCAGUGUUUUAAACUACAUAAUUAGCACUUCAUUCCUGUCGGACCAAUUGACAAAGCGUGAUGAGGGCGGUGUUUUAUUUUAUGUUUUCUCCAUUAAUACGCUACAGAGCCUGCACUGCGAGUGUCUGAAGGUGUAAACAGGAAAUGGUCAAUUAUUCAUUAUUUCCUCUUUAAGUUUAUUUGGAAAAAUUUGUGCACUUGAUUGAUAUGACAAUGACCAGCUUUCCAAAACAUAUUUAGUUGGAUUCUUUUGUGGGUUUUGUGAUAUUUUCCAAACCAACACCAUUGAUGAUGUGUUCAUUAAGCCAACAAACAUGGAAAAUCUGUCUGCCGAAAAACGUUUGUCCAAAAGGGAAGAAACAUUUAUGCAUACAAAUGCUGCAGUAACAUGUCCAUUCUUAUAUUUCCUCUGCUCUCCGUUUCUUCUCUGCUUACAAUGGUUGGGGCCUUCUGUGUAAAUGCAGCACUGCUGCUUAGUAAAAGUCAUUGGACACCAACCAGCUAGCAGACCUUCCUAAAGUAGGCCCAAAUCAGACAGUGGAUGGAGAUUCAGGAGGCCUGAUCCGCAGCUAAAGGACAAAAACACUAUUUCCCUCCCCUGCAGUGUAGAGCAAGUGGGCGUGAUUAACAAGAAAAAGAGGCAACGCCCCCUCUUACAAUCCGCUCUCCUUAUUGGUUUGAACGUGGAAGUCAAAUUCGGGGCUCUCCCUAUUGUUGAAACUGCCGUAUCAUUUGAGAAUAAUAUUUAUUAAAGAAAACAACGUUUUCCACGUUUUCCACGGACCCAAAUGUGAUCCACAUUUAAGUGCUCAUAAACCCCCCUAAAAAUGCAAAACAUCCACUCGUCCAACCCACAGCAGAUGCUGAAACAUCUGGCAGAGCUCCCCACAAGCUCAUGUGGGAACACGUCGGGAAGGGAAUUUACAAAAGUCCUCUUUCCAAGUCGUAUUCGCCCCCCAGUUUUCCCUGCUGCCUAUUCCUUGUUGUCCAUCGAGAGGAAAUU
ensembl:lncRNA